rnacentral:lncRNA from 1 species
CUUUCUCUCUCUAGAAUCCUCUCUCUAGAUUAUUUCUCUCUCCUAAGAUUUUUAGAAUUUUGAGAAGAAUGAUGAUGAAUUUAAAUGAUCCUCGUGAUAGAUUUUUGAUCUGUGAUCGUCGGACGGUAUACCGACAUCCACUUUGAUCAGAUCAGGUAUUUUUAGAUUUUAUUUCUCAUGAUUUUAUUAAAUUAUCCACAUGAUAAUCUUAACAUGAUUUGAUCUGAUCGAUCGAAUUUAUUGAAUCAUAUUGUC